CUACGGAGGGGACUAGCGUUGUUCGGAAUUACUGGGCGUAAAGCGUACGUAGGCGGAUCAGAAAGUAUGGGGUGAAAUCCCAGGGCUCAACCCUGGAACUGCCUCAUAAACUCCUGGUCUUGAGUUCGUGAGAGGUGAGUGGAAUUCCGAGUGUAGAGGUGAAAUUCGUAGAUAUUCGGAGGAACACCAGUGGCGAAGGCGGCUCACUGGCUCGAUACUGACGCUGAGGUACGAAAGUGUGGGGAGCAAACAGGAUUAGAAACCCUAGUAGUCC
rnacentral:rRNA from 1 species